AAGUUCCUGAGGUGUUCGAUACUCCUGUUAUUUUGAACCUACAUGAUGUAACACGGGAUUCCUACAUUUGUGGGUGGAUGUCAAGCCGCCAAGUCAGCGGAAGGCAGAAGCUUACAUGCGGUCGCCCACCUAGCUUAGCUAGGAGUCAAAAUGCAGGAACCGGCAUUUCGGGUAUAUA
rnacentral:other from 1 species